GCAGCGGUAAUUUAGUGGUAGAAUUCUCACCUUCCAAGCAGGAGGCCCGGGUUUGAUUCUCGGCCAAUGCA
rnacentral:tRNA from 1 species